rnacentral:tRNA from 1 species
GCGAGCGUAGUUCAACGGUAGAACAAUGUUCCAAGUCUUGAAUCUUAACACCUACUAUGCAGGUUCGACUCCUGCCGCUCGCA